rnacentral:rRNA from 1 species
ACCGGAGCUUGCUCCACCGGAAAAAGAGGAGUGGCGAACGGGUGAGUAACACGUGGGUAACCUGCCCAUCAGAAGGGGAUAACACUUGGAAACAGGUGCUAAUACCGUAUAACAAUCAAAACCGCAUGGUUUUGAUUUGAAAGGCGCUUUCGGGUGUCGCUGAUGGAUGGACCCGCGGUGCAUUAGCUAGUUGGUGAGGUAACGGCUCACCAAGGCCACGAUGCAUAGCCGACCUGAGAGGGUGAUCGGCCACAUUGGGACUGAGACACGGCCCAAACUCCUACGGGAGGCAGCAGUAGGGAAUCUUCGGCAAUGGACGAAAGUCUGACCGAGCAACGCCGCGUGAGUGAAGAAGGUUUUCGGAUCGUAAAACUCUGUUGUUAGAGAAGAACAAGGAUGAGAGUAACUGUUCAUCCCUUGACGGUAUCUAACCAGAAAGCCACGGCUAACUACGUGCCAGCAGCCGCGGUAAUACGUAGGUGGCAAGCGUUGUCCGGAUUUAUUGGGCGUAAAGCGAGCGCAGGCGGUUUCUUAAGUCUGAUGUGAAAGCCCCCGGCUCAACCGGGGAGGGUCAUUGGAAACUGGGAGACUUGAGUGCAGAAGAGGAGAGUGGAAUUCCAUGUGUAGCGGUGAAAUGCGUAGAUAUAUGGAGGAACACCAGUGGCGAAGGCGGCUCUCUGGUCUGUAACUGACGCUGAGGCUCGAAAGCGUGGGGAGCAAACAGGAUUAGAUACCCUGGUAGUCCACGCCGUAAACGAUGAGUGCUAAGUGUUGGAGGGUUUCCGCCCUUCAGUGCUGCAGCUAACGCAUUAAGCACUCCGCCUGGGGAGUACGACCGCGGUUGAAACUCAAAGGAAUUGACGGGGGCCCGCACAAGCGGUGGAGCAUGUGGUUUAAUUCGAAGCAACGCGAAGAACCUUACCAGGUC